rnacentral:tRNA from 1 species
UGGAUCACCUCCUAACAGGGAGACAACAAAAUGUUUAAUAUUAUUAUUUUGUCACCUUAGGUCGAUCGGUAUCUCACGUUCUUAAUUUGUUAAGAAUUUCAUUUCCUAAGUUUUUCUAGGUCACACCCAUUAUUUUUCCUGGGCCAUUAGCUCAGGUGGUUAGAGCGCACCCCUGAUAAGGGUGAGGUCCCUGGUUCAAGUCCAGGAUGGCCCAUAUCUCUAUGUUGGGGGUAUAGCUCAGUUGGUAGAGCGCCUGCUUUGCAAGCAGGAUGUCAGCGGUUCGAGUCCGCUUACCUCCACUGAUUACCACCUCUUCCAUAACCGGUAGAAAGGAAAUGUUUUGAGUUGUGAUCAUUAUUCUGAACGAAUCUAGCUUCCUAAUGAAAUCAUUAAGAUGCUGGACUCAUUGAAUUAAUUUCAUUGUUUUCAGAGAACCUUGACAACUGCAUAGAUUAUUUUUAAAGACAAUAAGCAUCUUUAAAGAUGCAAAUUUAUUAUUUGUGCGAAUGCAUUAAUAACAAUUCUAUUAAGCUGAUGCUUCAAAAAUAUUGAAGUUAUUGGUCAAGCUACAAAGGGCUCACGGAGGAUACCUAGGCACACAGAGGCGAUGAAGG